rnacentral:rRNA from 1 species
GAAACCGAGUCUUAAUAGGGCGAUUUAGUAUCAUGUUGUAGACCCGAAACCAUGUGACCUACCCAUGAGCAGGUUGAAGGUGAGGUAAAACUCACUGGAGGACCGAACCAGGGCACGUUGAAAAGUGCUUGGAUGACUUGUGGGUAGCGGAGAAAUUCCAAACGAACUUGGAGAUAGCUGGUUCUCUCCGAAAUAGCUUUAGGGCUAGCGUCGAUGUUAAGUCUCUUGGAGGUAGAGCACUGUUUGGGUGAGGGGUCCAUCUCGGAUUACCAAUCUCAGAUAAACUCCGAAUGCCAACGAGAUAUCAUCGGCAGUCAGACUGCGAGUGCUAAGAUCCGUAGUCGAAAGGGAAACAGCCCAGACCACCAGCUAAGGUCCCAAAAUAACUGUUAAGUGGAAAAGGAUGUGGGGUUGCACAGACAACUAGGAUGUUAGCUUAGAAGCAGCUAUUCAUUCAAAGAGUGCGUAAUAGCUCACUAGUCGAGUGACCCUGCGCCGAAAAUGUACCGGGGCUAAAACAGUUUACCGAAGCUGUGGAUGACACAAAAGUGUCAUGGUAGGAGAGCGUUCUAUGUGUGAAGAAGGUGUACCGUGAGGAGCGCUGGAACGCAUAGAAGUGAGAAUGCCGGUAUGAGUAGCGAAAGACAGGUGAGAAUCCUGUCCACCGUAAGACUAAGGUUUCCAGGGGAAGGCUCGUCCGCCCUGGGUUAGUCGGGACCUAAGGAGAGACCGAAAGGUGUAUCCGAUGGCCAACAGGUUGAUAUUCCUGUACUAGAGUAUAUAGUGAUGGAGGGACGCAGUAGGCUAACUAAACCGGACGAUUGGAAGAGUCCGGCUAAGCAGUGAGGUGUAAGAUGAGUCAAAUGCUUAUCUUUAUAACAUUGAGCUGUGAUGGGGAGCGAAUUUUAGUAGCGAAGUUAGUGAUGUCACACUGCCAAGAAAAGCUUCUAGCGUUUAAUGAUACUCUACCCGUACCGCAAACCGACACAGGUAGUCGAGGCGAGUAGCCUCAGGUGAUCGAGAGAACUCUCGUUAAGGAACUCGGCAAAAUGACCCCGUAACUUCGGGAGAAGGGGUGCUGACUUAGGUCAGCCGCAGUGAAUAGGCCCAAGCAACUGUUUAUCAAAAACACAGCUCUCUGCUAAAUCGUAAGAUGAUGUAUAGGGGGUGACGCCUGCCCGGUGCUGGAAGGUUAAGAGGAGGGUUUAGCGCAAGCGAAGAUCUGAAUUGAAGCCCCAGUAAACGGCGGCCGUAACUAUAACGGUCCUAAGGUAGCGAAAUUCCUUGUCGGGUAAGUUCCGACCCGCACGAAAGGCGUAAUGAUUUGGGCACUGUCUCAACGAGAGACUCGGUGAAAUUUUAGUACCUGUGAAGAUGCAGGUUACCCGCGACAGGACGGAAAGACCCCAUGGAGCUUUACUGCAGUUUGAUAUUGAGUAUCUGUACCACAUGUACAGGAUAGGUAGGAGCCAUUGACUUCGGGACGCCAGUUUCGAAUGAGGCGUUGUUGGGAUACUACCCUUGUGUUAUGGCUACUCUAACCCAGAUAGGUUAUCCCUAUCGGAGACAGUGUCUGACGGGCAGUUUGACUGGGGCGGUCGCCUCCUAAAGAGUAACGGAGGCGCCCAAAGGUUCCCUCAGAUUGGUUGGAAAUCAAUCGCAGAGUGUAAAGGUAUAAGGGAGCUUGACUGCGAGAGCUACAACUCGAGCAGGGACGAAAGUCGGGCUUAGUGAUCCGGUGGUACCGAAUGGAAGGGCCAUCGCUCAACGGAUAAAAGCUACCCUGGGGAUAACAGGCUUAUCUCCCCCAAGAGUUCACAUCGACGGGGAGGUUUGGCACCUCGAUGUCGGCUCGUCGCAUCCUGGGGCUGUAGUCGGUCCCAAGGGUUGGGCUGUUCGCCCAUUAAAGCGGCACGCGAGCUGGGUUCAGAACGUCGUGAGACAGUUCGGUCCCUAUCCGUCGCGGGCGUAGGAAAUUUGAGAGGAUCUGCUCCUAGUACGAGAGGACCAGAGUGGACUUACCGCUGGUGUACCAGUUGUCUUGCCAAAGGCAUCGCUGGGUAGCUAUGUAGGGAAGGGAUAAGCGCUGAAAGCAUCUAAGUGCGAAGCCCCCCUCAAGAUGAGAUUUCCCAUGAUUUUAUAUCAGUAAGAGCCCUGAGAGAUGAUCAGGUAGAUAGGUUAGGAGUGUAAGUGUAGCGAUACAUGUAGCGGACUAAUACUAAUAGCUCGAGGACUUAUCCAA